AGUAACACGUGGGUAACCUACCUAUAAGACUGGGAUAACUCCGGGAAACCGGGGCUAAUACCGGAUAAUAUUUUGAACCGCAUGGUUCAAUAGUGAAAGACGGUUUCGGCUGUCACUUAUAGAUGGACCCGCGCCGUAUUAGCUAGUUGGUAAGGUAACGGCUUACCAAGGCGACGAUACGUAGCCGACCUGAGAGGGUGAUCGGCCACACUGGAACUGAGACACGGUCCAGACUCCUACGGGAGGCAGCAGUAGGGAAUCUUCCGCAAUGGGCGAAAGCCUGACGGAGCAACGCCGCGUGAGUGAUGAAGGUCUUCGGAUCGUAAAACUCUGUUGUUAGGGAAGAACAAAUUUGUUAGUAACUGAACAAGUCUUGACGGUACCUAACCAGAAAGCCACGGCUAACUACGUGCCAGCAGCCGCGGUAAUACGUAGGUGGCAAGCGUUAUCCGGAAUUAUUGGGCGUAAAGCGCGCGUAGGCGGUUUCUUAAGUCUGAUGUGAAAGCCCACGGCUCAACCGUGGAGGGUCAUUGGAAACUGGGAAACUUGAGUGCAGAAGAGGAGAGUGGAAUUCCAUGUGUAGCGGUGAAAUGCGCAGAGAUAUGGAGGAACACCAGUGGCGAAGGCGGCUCUCUGGUCUGUAACUGACGCUGAUGUGCGAAAGCGUGGGGAUCAAACAGGAUUAGAUACCCUGGUAGUCCACGCCGUAAACGAUGAGUGCUAAGUGUUAGGGGUUUCCGCCCCUUAGUGCUGCAGCUAACGCAUUAAGCACUCCGCCUGGGGAGUACGACCGCAAGGUUGAAACUCAAAGGAAUUGA
rnacentral:rRNA from 2 species